rnacentral:rRNA from 1 species
UACGAAGGGGGCUAGCGUUGUUCGGAUUUACUGGGCGUAAAGCGCACGUAGGCGGAUUGUUAAGUGAGAGGUGAAAUCCCGGAGCUCAACUCCGGAACUGCCUUUCAUACUGGCAAUCUAGAGUCCGGAAGAGGUAAGUGGAACUCCUAGUGUAGAGGUGGAAUUCGUAGAUAUUAGGAAGAACACCAGUGGCGAAGGCGGCUUACUGGACAAGUAUUGACGCUGAGGUGCGAAAGCGUGGGGAGCAAACAGG